UUGACAGAAGAUAGAGAGCACGAAUAAUGGAAGCUGCAUGCACCUUAAUUCUUUGUGCUCUCUAUUCUUCUGUCAUCA